GCGACCCCAGGAUGGGCGAGGUCACCCGCUGA
rnacentral:rRNA from 1 species